ensembl:rRNA 5S_rRNA 5S ribosomal RNA
AACUAUGAGGAAAGACAAACACCCGAUCUUAUCUGAUCUAGGAAGCUAAGUAAGGUUGGGGCUGGUUGAUUCUUGGGUGGGAGACAGCCUGGAAAUACUGAGUGCUAUAGGCU